GCCCAUAUGCGGCCGUCAGGUGCCCGCUUGUCGCGGGAGAAUCGGGAAGCCGGUUGAAUUCCGGCACGUGCCCAACGCUGUGAUGGGGACGGCUGCGCCAAGGAGACUCUGAGCUUUUUCAGAGUUUUGCCACUGGAUCCUGAAGCGAUCUGGGAAGGUGGUUCAGCCGAGUGAUCCAAAGUCAGAAGACCGGCCUGGCGAGAUAGACCGGCC
rnacentral:ncRNA from 18 species